rnacentral:rRNA from 1 species
AUGAACGCUGGCGGCGUGCCUAAUCCAUGCAAGUCGAGCGAACGGACGAGAAGCUUGCUUCUCUGAUGUUAGCGGCGGACGGGUGAGUAACACGUGGAUAACCUACCUAUAAGACUGGGAUAACUUCGGGAAACCGUAGCUAAUACCGGAUAAUAUUUUGAACCGCAUGGUUCAAAAGUGAAAGACGGUCUUGCUGUCACUUAUAGAUGGAUCCGCGCUGCAUUAGCUAGUUGGUAAGGUAACGGCUUACCAAGGCAACGAUGCAUAGCCGACCUGAGAGGGUGAUCGGCCACACUGGAACUGAGACACGGUCCAGACUCCUACGGGAGGCAGCAGUAGGGAAUCUUCCGCAAUGGGCGAAAGCCUGACGGAGCAACGCCGCGUGAGUGAUGAAGGUCUUCGGAUCGUAAAACUCUGUUAUUAGGGAAGAACAUGUGUGUAAGUAACUGUGCACAUCUUGACGGUACCUAAUCAGAAAGCCACGGCUAACUACGUG